rnacentral:rRNA from 1 species
GACGGAGCAAGACCGCGUGGGGGAGGAAAGCCUUUGGGUUGUAAACCCCUUUUCUCAGGGAAGAAGAAAGUGACGGUACCUGAGGAAUCAGCCUCGGCUAACUCCGUGCCAGCAGCCGCGGUAAUACGGAGGAGGCAAGCGUUAUCCGGAAUGAUUGGGCGUAAAGCGUUCGUAGGUGGCAAUUCAAGUCUGCUGUCAAAGACAGUAGCUCAACUACUGCAAGGCAGUGGAAACUGAAUAGCUAGAGUGCGGUAGGGGCAGAGGGAAUUCCCGGUGUAGCGGUGAAAUGCGUAGAGAUCGGGAAGAACACCGGUGGCGAAAGCGCUCUGCUGGGCCGCAACUGACACUGAGGGACGAAAGCUAGGGGAGCGAAUGGGAUUAGAUACCCCAGUAGUC